rnacentral:rRNA from 1 species
GUAGGUGGCAAGCGUUGUCCGGAAUUAUUGGGCGUAAAGCGCGCGCAGGCGGUUCUUUAAGUCUGAUGUGAAAGCCCACGGCUCAACCGUGGAGGGUCAUUGGAAACUGGAGAACUUGAGUACAGAAGAGGAAAGCGGAAUUCCACGUGUAGCGGUGAAAUGCGUAGAGAUGUGGAGGAACACCAGUGGCGAAGGCGGCUUUCUGGUCUGUAACUGACGCUGAGGCGCGAAAGCGUGGGGAGCAAGCAGGAUUAGAUACCCUGGUAGUCCACGCCGUAAACGAUGAGUGCUAAGUGUUAGGGGGGUUUCCGCCCCCCUUAGUGCUGCAGCUAACGCAUUAAGCACUCCGCCCUGGGAGUACGGCCGCAAGGCUG